UACGAAGGGGGCUAGCGUUGUUCGGAAUACUGGGCGUAAAGCGCGCGCAGGCGGUCCUUCAAGUCAGAGGUGAAAGCCCAGAGCUCAACUCUGGAACGGCCUUUGAGACUAGAGGACUUGGGUACGGGAGAGGUGAGUGGAAUUCCGAGUGUAGAGGUGAAAUUCGUAGAUAUUCGGAAGAACACCAGUGGCGAAGGCGGCUCACUGGCCCGUUACCGACGCUCAGGCGCGACAGCGUGGGGAGCAAACAGGG
rnacentral:rRNA from 1 species